rnacentral:tRNA from 1 species
AGGCCGCUCGUCUAACCAAGACCUUUGAUUUCGACUCAAAAAAUCCCGGACACCACUGGGGCAACCUA